GCACCUUCGGGUGUGAAUUAGCGGCGAACGGGUGAGGAACACGUGAGAAAUCUGCCUUCAACACUGGGAUAACUCCGGGAAACCGGGGCUAAUACCGGAUAUGAAAUCUGCGGGCAUCCGCGGAUUUGGAAAGUUUUUCGGUAGAAGAUGAUCUCGCGGCCUAUCAGCUUGUUGGUGAGGUAAUGGCUCACCAAGGCGACGACGGGUAGCCGGCCUGAGAGGGCGACCGGCCACACUGGGACUGAGACACGGCCCAGACUCCUACGGGAGGCAGCAGUGGGGAAUAUUGGGCAAUGGAGGAAACUCUGACCCAGCGACGCCGCGUGCGGGAUGAAGGCCUUCGGGUUGUAAACCGCUUUCAGCAGGGAAGAAGCGAAAGUGACGGUACCUGCAGAAGAAGCACCGGCUAACUAUGUGCCAGCAGCCGCGGUAAUACAUAGGGUGCAAGCGUUGUCCGGAAUUAUUGGGCGUAAAGAGCUCGUAGGUGGUUCGU
rnacentral:rRNA from 1 species